rnacentral:rRNA from 1 species
AUUGAACGCUGGCGGCAGGCCUAACACAUGCAAGUCGAGCGAGCGGCGGACGGGUGAGUAAUGUAUGGGGACUGCCUGAUAGAGGGGGAUAACUACUGGAAACGGUGGAUAAUACCGCAUACUAUCAGAUAACCCAUAUGGGAUUAGCUAGUAGGUGGGGUAAAGGCUCACCUAGGCGACGAGCUCUAGCUGGUCUGAGAGGAUGAUCAGCCCCACUGGAACUGAGACACGGCCCAGACUCCGACGGAGGCAGCAGUGGGGAAUAUUGCACAAUGGGCGCAAGCCUGAUGCAGCCAUGCCGCGUGUAUGAAGAAGGCCUGAGGGUUGUAAAGUACUUUCGGCGGGGAGGCGUUACCCGCAGAAGAAGCACCGGCUAACUCCGUGCCAGCAGCCGCGGUAAGUC